rnacentral:tmRNA from 1 species
GAGUUUGCAUCAAGACCCGGGGUGUCCUAUAUAGGGAGUGCCCGCAAGGGCUAUGGCGAUAAACGGUCAUUGUAAUAAACCCAUCGGACCCGGGGGCAGUACCCGGCGUCUCCACCAUCUCCUCCCCUCAAAAGGGGGAGCCACUGGGGACGAAACAGGAUCGACGAGGGCGUAAAGAGUGUGCUUUUGCUCGGUGAGGUACCACCGUUAUCGGUCCGAAACUUAUAGUUGCAAAUGACAACAAUAAGGCUCCAGUCGCUCUCGCUGCGUAAGCAGUGCUAGCAUUGGGAAAUUAAGUCCUCCACCCCUAGCCGGGUGACAGGCGGGGUUCGCAGGCACCUGGCAACAGAAGCCUGCACU